rnacentral:lncRNA from 1 species
UGCAUAUAACAUUGAGGAGAAAUAUUUCGGGACAUGAUUAGAUCGCGAAUAUCACAAUUGUUUUUCUCUGUUUUGUCUACUAAUUGUAAAAUGAGUCCGAACCGUACUUUUUAUUUUAAAGGCUUCUAAGGAGAAGCAUUAAAAUUGCUUUUAUAUAUGAUAAAAUGUUUGAAUACAGAAUAAGAAAAUUAUCAAUUGGUUUUUGAGAAGACUUUAGUAGCGUCUCAAACUGACAACGUCCAAAAAGUACGAAACUUGCAAGACAUUGGUCUUGAUUUGUCCAAAUCAUCAAUGCGAUAAUUGCAAACUUUUAAUAAUCCCUUUUCAAUAAUAAAUUAUUGUCUACACCUACAGUUUAGAACGAAUACGACAGGUGAGAUAUGAGGGUGUUGUCCCAAAAAAAAAAUUGAAAAAUAUUAAUGAUCGCAUAUGAUUAUUUUGCUUGCCAACACAUAUAUAACGUGUAUAAAAGCAAUUGUUGUGUCCGUAUCUUAUUUUGUUCAUUAAGUAUUUGAUAAUCAAAAUUACACUUGUUUGUAAAUUGACUAUUAAAAAGGAAGGAC